AUUUUACAGAAGAAACCCUAAAUGGGUAUCUAGCUACAACUAAAAAUAUUGCACAUAAAAUAAAAUAAGAUGAAUUAAAAAUAAAUCUAAAAGCUACCAUGAUCUCUUUUCUCUUGAGUGUCACCACAAGUGUCAUUAUUCCAAGGAGAAGGAUAAUAAAGAGCAGAAUUUUGAUCAUAAGAAGUAGCAGAAGAUGAUCCUCCAUGACCCAUCCUAAAUCUUCCAAAUGUUGAUGGGAUUUCAUUACAAGCAUACCUGAUCAAAUCAGCAUUUGUAGCAUCUAAUUCCUUUUGAAGUCUAAUGACUUGCCUUUGGAGG
rnacentral:misc_RNA from 1 species